rnacentral:rRNA from 1 species
UACGUAGGGGGCUAGCGUUGUCCGGAAUCAUUGGGCGUAAAGCGCGCGUAGGCGGCCAGAUAAGUCCGGUGUGAAAGCCACAGGCUCAACCUGUGAAUGCCGCUGGAAACUGUCUGGCUAGAGUCCGGGAGGGGCGAGUGGAAUUCCUGGUGUAGCGGUGAAAUGCGCAGAUAUCAGGAGGAACACCGGUGGCGAAGGCGGCGCUCUGGACCGAGACUGACGCUGAGGCGCGAAGGCGUGGGGAGCAAACAGG